CCUACGGGAGGCUGCAGUGGGGAAUAUUGCACAGUGGGCGCAAGCCUGAUGCAGCCAUGCCGCGUGUGUGAAGAAGGCCUUCGGGUUGUAAAGCACUUUCAGCGGGGAGGAAGGCGUUAAGGUUAAUAACCUUGGCGAUUGACGUUACCCGCAGAAGAAGCACCGGCUAACUCCGUGCCAGCAGCCGCGGUAAUACGGAGGGUGCAAGCGUUAAUCGGAAUUACUGGGCGUAAAGCGCACGCAGGCGGUCUGUCAAGUCGGAUGUGAAAUCCCCGGGCUCAACCUGGGAACUGCAUUCGAAACUGGCAGGCUAGAGUCUUGUAGAGGGGGGUAGAAUUCCAGGUGUAGCGGUGAAAUGCGUAGAGAUCUGGAGGAAUACCGGUGGCGAAGGCGGCCCCCUGGACAAAGACUGACGCUCAGGUGCGAAAGCGUGGGGAGCAAACAGGAUUAGAUACCCGAGUAGUC
rnacentral:rRNA from 1 species